CCAUGGCAGUUCCUCUCACUGCUUGGAGCCUUAGUCGGGGAAUGUGGUCCAUCACACAUUUAAGCUAACUCGUCUUCAGUCAGAGCGCCAUGGGGGUGGGGUGGCUGCUCAUUCGUGCCUUCUGAUUUUUGCAGAGUCAAAUAAUU